CACACACACAUAAGAAAGGGCGCCUCAAAUUAUAAGGUAGAGAAAUUGUUGUCUACUUUACAUAUGGUGAGACAUCAAUUCACUAGCUUUCAAUUUGUACGCCCAAAUGCAACGGAACCAUU
rnacentral:pre_miRNA from 1 species